UCGAGUGUACAUCCUCAGUUACAAAAGAUUAAAGAAGUGUUUCAAAGUGAAAAAUAAGUCAAUGAACUCCGUGAUGUUUCAUUAAUUUAAAACAAUUUGCUUGGGUCCGCCAGAAGUGCGCAUUGGACCUCAGCUCACCAGUGUGUCCAUUCGCGCCUCGCCGUGUGUGCGAUUGUCGCAUCUUUUUUUCACUUCGCCCUCCGCUUUGUGCCGUGUUACACUCCGAACGCAAAACGAUCGGAUCGUCGCUGAUUGGCCGUUUUUUUAAAGAUACCACUCGCUUACCCGCCUCUACGCGUUGACGAAGGUGUCCACAUAUAGAAUGGUUUCUGCAGCGAAAAAAACACAUAACCACGAUGAAGGAGCUAUCACCCGCUGCAUGGAGUUGGUCCUCUCUAAGAAAAAGUCACUGUACGCAGCAUGCAAAGCUUAUGGCAUCCUUCAGUCUACCGUUCGUUACCGACUUAGUGGCAAGUGGACCAGGAAAGCCCGGAAAGGGCAUCCAGUCAACUCGAUUUUCUAGUUUGAAUUAUAUCUAAACUCAACGUAUUAUAAUAUUACCAAAAUUUCACAGAUUCUUCUUAGUUUUAUUCACAAUUCUAAAUAAAAUGUUCAGCAGAGUUAUAGACAGUGGACUGUAGAUUAUAUAGAAAAUGACGGACUUAUGUCCCAUUUUUUGUGUAAUAAAACAUUCACAUUGAUUUCCAUAUUUAUUUUAAACUCAUCGUUUUUUGUUUUCUAUACUUGUGACUGUUCAACAAACUUCAAAAUGUACAAUCUUCAUCCAUUUCAUUUAUAGAAAUUUCGAAUUUUUUAAAACUACCUCCACUAUAGGUACAUGGUACCACCAUUAUAGGAACAGUACCUCCACUAAGGGUACAAAAGCUAUGAUAACAAUUGUUGAUUUUUUUCAAAUUCAUUAGUUUUAAAAAUGCACAACGAGUUAUUUAUCAGGAAAACAACUAAAUUGUCUAGCAAAUCAUAUAUUCAUACAUCCAAAGUUAACUAAGUCUCAAUUGGAUUCGUUAAAAUUUCUUAGAAGUAGCUACUAUUUGCGCCUCUAUUGGUACAUUUACCCUAUUUCUUUCGGAAACAUUUUGUAAAACUACACGAAAAACAAUUAAAAUUGAUAAAAAAUAGCCAGAUUAAAACCGAGACAAGCUUUAAUGGAACUAUCGACAUACGUGUAACACGUACGUUUAAGAUCUACUAAGGACAUCUUGCAUAAGAUUAAACAAUAUUUGCACACUUUCAAAAUGAGUCACUUCCAGGAAAACAAACAGCUUUGAUGACUGUGAACCACAAUAAAACUGAUUCAGUGUCACUGGUCAUAAACACUGAAACUAA